rnacentral:sRNA from 1 species
UUUAAGGGAGGGCAGACUAAGAACGCCACUUCCUGUGGAAACACCCGCAUGACCCACAUCGUGUGGG